rnacentral:rRNA from 1 species
GAUGAACGCUGGCGGCGUGCCUAAUACAUGCAAGUCGAGCGAACAGACGAUGAGCUUGCUCCGCUGACGUUAGCGGAGGGCGUGUGUGUAACACGUGUAUAACCUACCUGUAAUACUGGUAUAAUUUCGAGAAACCGGAGCUAAUACCGGAUAAUAUAUUGAAGCACAUGGUUCAAUAGUGAGAGUCGGUUGUUCUGGCAGUUAUAGAUGGAUCCGCGCCGCAUUAGAGAGUUGGUAAGUUAACAGCUUACAAAGGCAACGAUGCGUAGCCGACCUGAGAGGGUGGUCGGCCACACUGGAAGUGAGACACGGUCAAGACUCCUAAGGUAGGCAGCAGUAGGGAAUCUUCCGCAGUGGGCGAGAGCAUGACGGAGCAACGCGGAGUGAGUGAUGAAGGUCUUCGGAUCGUAAUACUCUGUUAUUAGGGAAGAACAAAUGUGUAAGUAACUAUGCCCGUCUUGACGGUAACUAAUCAGAAAGCCACGGCUAACUACGUG